GAAUGCCACUGCCGGGGUACCAUGGGACUAUCUCCAGUCCUGAAGAGGCUCCUCUCAGUCACACGGCAGCUCUGGACAAGACUUGUGCAAAGAAAGAUGAUCUCGCUAUGCUGCCUAGGCUGGCCUUGAACUCCUGGGCUCAAGCAAUCCUGCUACACUAUGAGGAGUUGCAAAUACAGGGGGCGUGUAAUCACUCUGUGACUGGUGGCUGCAGGCUCUCCUAAUGGAUAUUUCCUAUUUACAGGGCUACCAACUGCCAAGCAUCCAAGCAGUCCCUAGGCAGCAAUCCAGCAGCUGACAGGGUUACCGGCGUCAACUGCCACAGAUGCUAGGCUGGUUUGCCAUAUUUACAUGGAUUUGAUCAGCAAUGAGCACAAAAGAUAGAGAUUGUUUCUUUCUUUCUUUUUUUUGAGGUGGAGUUUUACUCUUGUUGCCCACGCUGGAGCGCAAUGGUGAGAUCUUGGCUCACUGCAACCUCCACCUCCCAGAGACGGGGUUUCACCAUAUUAGUCAGGCUGGUGGCAAACUCCUGACCUCAAGUGAUC
rnacentral:misc_RNA from 1 species